rnacentral:rRNA from 1 species
UCCUCGCGGUCCAAGUCGCAGCCAUCAUUAUUGGGUCUAAAACAUCCGUAGCUUGCUUAAUAAGUUCCUUGUGAAAUCUUAUCUCUUAAGGGUAAGGCGUGCAGGGAAUACUGUUGAGCUAGAGACUGGAAGACGUAAGAAGUAUGUUCAAAGUAGUGGUAAAAUAUGUUAAUCUUGGACAGACUCACAACAGCGAAGGCAUCUUACGAGGACAGUUCUGACAGUAAAGGAUGAAGGCUAGGGGCGCAAAGUGG